UACAGAGGAGCCAAGCGUUGUCCGGAUUGACUGGGCGUAAAGCGCACGCAGGCGGUCGCGCGCGUGGGGUGUGAAAUCUGGCCGCUUAACGGCCAGGCGCCAUCCCAUACGGCGCGACUGGAGUGAUGCAGAGGUCGAUGGAAUUGCCGGUGUAGUGGUGAAAUUCGUAGAUAUUCGGCGGAACACCAGUGGCGAAGGCGACUCACUGGCCCGAUACUGACGCUGAGGCGCGAAAGCGUGGGGAGCAAACAGG
rnacentral:rRNA from 1 species